AACCCUGUCAGAUUCGAUUUUGAUAUACCACAACUUCUCCUCGUUACUUCUUCCCAUUUUUGUAAAAAUCGAGAUAUUAAGGAAUUACACUAAGGGAUAAAGUUUGUGAUAACAAUGCAAAGACCCAGGAUGAGGCCUGUGGCUUUAUACUGUCUCGGUCAAGCUGCCCUGCCUAGCGGUACUUAUUGCAAUUACGCUUCAGGUCGCUUAUACUUAAAAAAUACACAACAUAGGUUAAUCCGGGAGUGUCAAAGCAUCCUUUUGUUAUAUUUUGUAACAGGAAAUUAGCUUCCAGCAUAGUUUUUAGCAGUUAAGCUAGUGUAAUAGCGCGGUCCAGGACAUAGCAUGGGAUCAUGUAGCUUAAGCUUUUAAAUUUGUCCGAACUCUUACAACUCUUGCGUAUAAUACGAGGUCAAAAGACAAAAGUUAGAUGGUCCAUAUUUUGCUGAGAAAACUGAAGUUUAACUUAAAAAUUAAUUAAACCAAGGCCAAAGCAAAAACGACGGUGAAAUCGUACGACUACUUAACUUAUAAAACAGAGAUUAAACAGUGAUUGGAUAUUUGAAAUAGCCUCAGUUAAAAGAACUUACCGAUUAGGAAGAAUUCGGCAAACUUGAUACCGGCACUUUUAGCAUUCAGUUUAGACACGCAGGUAAUGCUGAAACGGCCAUUUAAUUGACUUAUUCUCAAAGCAAGGGGCCCGACACCAAAGAUUUGUUUGCUAGAUGUUGCACAUUUUUGCUGCUGCCGCCUUCUGGAAUCUGGACUUUUGACGUCAUAGCUUCCUCUGACGUGUCGUGUGAUUGGACAACAGACAAAAAUUUGAUUGACAUCACGUGCUCAAUCAACGCACUCAACUCAACAGUCACACAUUCAGUCUCUAAGGGCCCGGUCGCACUAGCAAGAUGUUCAGGAGAUGUCAGGGACAUUUAGGUGGACAAGUUUGUCCCGUGACAUCUACGCACUAUCAGACAUUCUUAAAUUAAGGUCGCACUGGUUGCAACAUCCGUGGAUCACGAGCCCUAAAAAUAACAUCGUAUGUCAUUCAUCUGCUUUUCCUUCGCGCGCGGGAGAUUCGAAGAGCAAAUACUCUCUGCAUGCUGCACGUCUGCACAUUAAGUCAUGAAUAGAAAAAUCUGCUGCUUUUCGUUUGAAUGUACCUAUACAUCGGGCUGCGUUAGUCGGAUGCAUAGCUGUCACUGUUACUCAGUUAAUUUCAAAUGUAGUUGUCUAUUAUGCACUGAAGGCGAAGACGUACAUGUUUGGCUUAGAAUUGACCGUUCCUCACGCCGCCAGAUUGUUGGAAAAAAGGGAUUUUGGUAGGGAUUCACCUUUAGCUUUGAAGGCGAAGCGAAGGUUUCUAUUUGAGACCAUUUACGUUUUUUUUUUAUGUGAGUGACGUUCUUUGCGCGAUAAGACUCAGUCAUUUCAUCAUCUGUCAGUUUUUGAGCUUAUCCAAACAGAGAUGUCCUGAACAUCUUGCUAGUGCGACCGGGCCCUAAAACAGCUCCAUAUUUUUCCAAGUCUUCACUCUUAUGCUCUUUAUAUCGUCGUUUUCAAUACCAUGGACAACGAUAGUCCAGGACCAGCACUUUUUACCAGUACACCGAUAAAAAGCAGAUCGAUUGGCUUGCAUAAAGAAACAAGUUCGUCGCCCUUCAAAAGGCAACGAAUGACGAUUUCUCGACUCCCUCAGAUGACUGCAUAAUCUUUCAUUCACAAGUCCCGAAAAUAAACAACUAUACUCCCUAGUUGUUGCCAGAUUAUUGGAUGAAUCUCGAAGUAGCGAGUUAGAAGAACUGUCUUACUCUCCAGUGGUUGCCAGAUUAUUGGAUGAAUCUAGCGAGUCAGAGAUCGAGACGACACCCCCAAAAACAACAACACGUGAGACUCCUUGAUGAAACAGAAAGCAGCAUAGAUUCGUUUGACGACUUCUUAAAUCCACCCAUAUUGCUUGACGAUGACAAAGAAAGCAGCAGAGUCAGUAGCCUUGAUGCGAUCAUCCAGCCAACUACAGUAGAUACGACUGUGAUUCAAAGAAGUGAAGCUCAAGAAGACGACGAAGUAUUGUCAGGUGAGCGCAUUUUUUUUUCAGUUUAUAACUAAGCACAUCUUUUUGAAUAGUCAAAAUCAGUUUGAAUUAGCGGGAGUUCGAGUUACAGUAGGCAAGUCAAAAAUGCAAAGUUUUGAGUCAUUCAAAACAUAAAUUUUAUUGUUCGAUUAUGUUUGAUUACUGAGUCCAAUCAAAAUCAAUCGAACGAUUUGUUCAUGUAGCCUACAAGUAACUUACCGUAGUGGAAUUGCAACCAUAAAGACUGACUAAAUUUCGACCAACUACUGUUGUAGUCUGAUUUUACUAUAAAACGAUUCUCCCUCUUGCCUGAGCCUUUGGCCUCAUGGGCUAUUGGCUCCUAGCCUAUUCGGGCUUGAGGAAUAAUGAUUAAAUAAAGUAGCCCAUAAUGUGAUGAAGUGUUCCCCCUCGAAAAAAAUACUAGUACUGUACAGCGAGUAUCUAAAAUUAGCUAUUUGGUUGUUUGCAAGAGUUUUUCCUUUUAGCUCUAAUGCCAGUGACAUAAGCAAUCACGAAUUUUCUGAAGGUAAGAAGUUCACUUGUCAAUAUUUGUCUCUUUACACUAAGAGUUAUUUAGUACAUAUAAAUAAAAAACUACUUUACUACUCAAUAUGCAAUAAGACAAUAGAAAAUAUUGCAUAAGUAUCUUUCAUCCACGAUAAAUAAUUUAUUCCAAUUUACAUAUACAUACUUUUUCUGUAAAGAUUGUUUGAAAGAAAUAGACUGCAGUAGAACCUCUAUUAAGCGUCCACCUAUUAAGCGGCCAACCUCUAUUUAAUGGCCACUUUUGAAAUCCCAAAAAUAUCAUAUUUUCUAAUCAAGUAUAUUAUUUGGUACCUCUAUUAAGCGGCCAACCUCUAUUAAACUGCCACUUCUUAAGGUCCCGAGGUAGCUUAAUAGAGGUUCCACUGUAGUUGGCAGUUAAUUCUGCCAUUUGAUAGGAGCGAAAUGGCAAAACACUGUCACAAUCACUGGAAAGAGCUCCUGAAAAUUAGCAAAAAUAAAAUACUUUUGGAUGCUUUUGGGACUAUCAGAAUGGUGACCAUGUCAGCUUAAUGAAGGUGACCCCUUAAUAUAUAGGGAUACAUUGGGCAUUACUGUAUACACAUUUCAAAUAUAAUAUCCUUGAGUUUGUAUAAGAUGCAUUUGCCAAAUAAAAAUGUAUAAAGGCCUGACCCACUGUUCCCACAAUGCACUGCUUCAACGCCAUUUUUGUUGGUAACAGGCAAAACAAACAACUCUAAAAGUGAAUCAGAUUGGCUGAAUGUUGCAGAUUUCCAUUGGUUUGCACAUCAAACUGAAUUUUCUCAUGAAUCGGGCUGUUUCUCAUGUUUGGAAUUUUGGAAACAAUAAACAUAAUCAGUGCAUUAUGCAAGUCAGAUCCUUCAAUGUAAAUACAUACAAACAGGUACCCUUAAUUCAUAGCGGAGCCCGCGCGCUGAGCUCCAUAGGUAUAGAAAUAUGGUAUAGCUAUGCGACUUGGUUUUGUGGUCAUCGCGCGGUUACCCUGUGGUGUCACAAUCCAUCCAGUCAAUCGUGCAACUCCCAGGCCCCACUCGAUCUUACGCUGUUGUGUGUUUUUACCGCCUCGCUUUGUACUGCAAAGUUUGUAUGUUCACAGAAGAAAGGCAGCUUGAAAAUAGUAUUUAAUGAGAAAAUAAGCGGAUUCAAAUGGGCUGAAGUUUUUGAGGAAACGUUUUGUCUGAAGUACAAGCUGAUAUAAAAUCCCGUGGCAGCAGCAGCAGCUAAAAAGAGGGCGAAGAGAAGAGGCUCUACACAACCAUUCUAUAUUUUUUCACGUCUAUAUCUAUGCAAGGAGAUCCUGAGAGGAAAAGGCCUUGGAUUGAUGUCUGUUUUCAGCUAUAAAAAGCAUUCACUUGUGUUGACGAAUUCCUUGCUAGCAGAAAGAUCACGGUUUACAACAAAAAGCGAACACAACCUCUAGGCGACAAACAUAAAGUGACCAAAAAAACUCACUGCCAAGUUAAAACCAACCAAGGACUACCUGAGGGUCAUGACUGAUGCUAAAGGCUGGAAGGAAUAAGAAUAGGCAAAUGUAGCCGGGAUACUUACUUUGAUACAGCAGGUAUAAGUGAAAUAGGGUUUUUAAUGCAAGAUGCUUUGUGACAAUGAUACUGUAAAUCUGUAAAACAUUUUUUAUCAACCUGAAGAUAAUGAGAAAAGGGGAAAUGUUAUGAGAGUGCUCAAUCAAAAUGUUGCAUUACUGUUUAAGUUUUUAUCAAAAAUAUAGUCCCAGUUUUUUUUUUAUCUCUCUGACUAUUUUUAUAUGCAAUUGAUAAUUAUUCGCUGUUUCCCCUUUGCACCCUGAAACAAUUAAAGUAGGUUAGGUUUGAAACUAGACAUUUUCAUUUAGCACUAAUCAGUAAUAUAAAGAUUUUUUCUUUUAACUUGCUUCCAAGUCAAUUUGUUCUCCUCCAUUUCAUUGCAUUUAAUUUUGUUGUAGCAUUAGAAUGUGUGGAUCCAGCUGCAGGGUUUCUGUAAAAAAAAAUUAAAAAAACUGCAGGCCACCAUGCUAAGGGGUUGGUUCACCAAUAUGUUAUGCAUGAUUGAGGUAUAUAUUUGUGGAUUUUAAUUUAAUGGUGAUAGAUUAUCACUAGUAAGUGGCACAUGUAACUAUAUCAUUCUAUCUUUGGAAUGCUGUUUCACCACUAUUUGUUUCUUUGCAAUGGCAAAGCCGGUCAGAAUGUAGCUUUGAUGCAAGUGUACAUUAAUGGAACUUCUAUAAAAGGGUUUUUAUUAGGGCAAGGUACUUCUUAAUAAAUCCUAAAAAGAUAAUAACAAACUAAUGCUUUUUCAAUAAUAAAUCUGUAAAGAAAA